CAAAUCUUCCCUCUCUCUCCUCUUUUAUUUUAUGUCCCGUCUCAAUUUAUUUUUCCUUCUUUAAUCUGUGGGACACGUUUUUAUGUUUACAAAUAAUUUAGCUUUAAAAUGACUAUAUUUUGUUUUUAGAUUAGACGUUUCUAAAGUCUCUUUGCACUCACACAAACACCCUCACGUAUAUAUUGGACCUUUUCUUCUAUUUGUCUGACACUCUUUUGUGCUGGUAUGCAUUUGGUUAAUAAGGAAUUUUUAAAUUUUAAUUAUUAUCAUAGUUGUUUGCUUUACUUAAGGAUACUGUUAAAAAUAUUCAUACGUAUACCGAGGUUAUCUUGGAGUCGAGUUAUUUAAGUACAUUUAGUUGGGUACUAGUUUGUGUCUCUUAUCAAGCCUACAGUUCGUUUUAUCUAUUUGAGAUCAUAUUUUAGUGAGAUAAUUCCAAGGGGGAUGGUCCAAGCUUCCUGCAAUGAGAAAUCAUACUAUUAAUAAAGUAGCGCUUCUUUUUAAAAAAAUAAAAAUAAAAAUAAAAAUAGUGGUACAUGGUGAACUCCAUUGGCACAAGCCAAACUAUGGAACAGUGUCAAGAAAUCUCUUGAAUGUGCGUAUCAUGGUUAUUUCUAAUUCAGCAACUGGAUUUUAGCUCAUUUCAAUCACACUACCAUUUCUAAUCCAAGUACUUGAUUAGCAAAUAAGGUUAAGGCAGACUUCUUCUUCUCUGACUAUGCGACCUGAUAAUUUUCUUAAAUUCCUACUAAACCACCUCGCCGUGAAGUCAUAAGCUGUUAUUGCCGCCGUUCUAGCUUUUUCCAAAUACGAAGAAAAAAUGGUAAUAUGGCUGUUAAUUUGUGUACCAUGUACUUGAAUAGUAAUAAACUGUGACUACGUAUAUGACCUUUCUAGGAAACAGAUCUACUCAAUGCAUCGUCUGACCAGUUAAUCAUACAUCAAAUGUUCUUGUAUCUUGACACAGUCGUUACCAUGUCUUAUUUACUGUGUAUUAAUCUUUCUCCUUCCUGUUCAACCUUGAACGGGUCAUUGAAAAUAGGAGGCUAUAUAUAUAUAUAUAUAUNNN
rnacentral:lncRNA from 1 species